GGAUUGUGGCUCAACGGUAGAGUGCUCGCCUAGCCCGGGCGCGACCUGGAUUCGAUUCUCAGCACCA
rnacentral:tRNA from 1 species